CCCGAUGAACCUGAAUAUCCGUUAUGGAAAAUUCAUCAUUAAUAUUAUUAUAUUUAAAAAUAUAAUAAAAAUAGUGUGCAAUUUUUCCAUAUAAGGACAUUGUAAUCUGUUAAUGUAUUAAAUAUUUAUCAAAAAAUCUAUAACAUAAGUUUAUUCAAAUUAGUUAUUUUCGAAUUUCUAACAUAGAAUAAUUGUAUUAGAUUUGAUAAAUCAUUGACAGAUUUUAUUAUAUAUAAUGCUUAAAUUCUUUUUGAAUUUUAUAAUUUUAUUGAAAAUAUAUUUUUAUAUAAAAUUAUAUGCAUUUAUACGAUUAACAAUGCGAUAGAUUCAGGAUACCUUCGGGACCCGUCUUGAAACACGGACCAAGGAGUCUAACAUAUGUGCAAGUCAUUGGGUAUUUUUAAUAAAACCCAAUGGCAUAAUUAACUUAACUGUUUUUUUUAAUGGGAUUAGUUUAUAUUUUAUUAUGAAUUAUAAAUUCAAUCCCGGGGCGUUCUAUAUAGUUAUGCAUAAUAGUAUUUAUAUUAUUUAUGCCUCUAACUAGAGCGUACCUUGAGCAUAUAUGCUGUGACCC
rnacentral:rRNA from 1 species